GUUAUGUGAUGAGUUUGUUACCGCCCCAGUCUGAUUUUUAGUGACUGAUUGGUACAGUAUCUGAUGCA